rnacentral:rRNA from 1 species
CAAUAGCGUAUAUUAAAGUUGUUGCAGUUAAAAAGCUCGUAGUUGGAUUUCUGGUCGGAAGCUCCUGUCCUCUGAUGAGCGUACAAGUGCGUCCUACCAUCCUUCUGUUAACCUUUAAGGCUUUCGCGGCUUUCUAGGGGCUCAGAUAUUUUACCUUGAGAAAAUUAGAGUGUUUCAGGCAGGCUAGCGCCGGAAUACAUUAGCAUGGAAUAAUGGAAUAGGACUUUUGCCUCUUCUGUUGGUCAUGAGGUUCGAGUAAUGAUUAAUAGGGAUAGUUGGGGGCAUUAGUACUUAACUGUCAGAGGUGAAAUUCUCGGAUUUGUUAAAGACUAACUUAUGCGAAAGCAUUUGCCAAGGAUGUUUUCAUUAA